rnacentral:tRNA from 1 species
AAAGGGAGACCUAAUUCAGGUAGGAGACGAAAAAAAGUAGUCCCUACCAAGAAUCAAUCCCAAAAGGUCGGAGCGAGGCAAAAUUGGCUUUCAAACUAGGUUCUGGGUUCACAUAAGACCUGAAUCAGGAACAAGGGCUAUUAGCUCAGGUGGUUAGAGCGCACCCCUGAUAAGGGUGAGGUCCCUGGUUCGAGUCCAGGAUGGCCCACCUGCACAGGUGGCAAAAACAAAGAAAAGAAGCUCCGAAUCAGCACCUUAUCAUACUCAUAUAGUAAGAGAGAAUGCUGGCUCUGAGUUCAGAGUCCAGAGGAACCUUGAAAACUGCAUAGAGCUAGGUGAAAAAGCCAAAAAAGAAGACCGCAAG